UACGAAGGGGGCUAGCGUUGCUCGGAAUGACUGGGCGUAAAGCGCGUGUAGGCGGGGAGGCCAAGUCUGAUGGUGAAAUCGCUCGGCUUAACUGGGCGGGGUCCAUGGAAACUGGUCACCUGGAGGUCGGUAGAGGCAAGUGGAAUUCCCGGUGUAGUGGUGAAAAUGCGCAGAGUAUCGAGGAGGAACACCGGUGGCGAAGGCGGGGUCUCUGGGCCGAUGAACUGACGC
rnacentral:rRNA from 1 species